rnacentral:rRNA from 1 species
UACGGGGGGAGCAAGCGUUGUUCGGAUUUACUGGGCGUAAAGGGCGCGUAGGCGGCACUGCAAGUCAGUUGUGAAAUCUCCGGGCUUAACCCGGAAAGGUCAACUGAUACUGCAGGGCUAGAGUGCAGAAGGGGCAACUGGAAUUCUCGGUGUAGCGGUGAAAUGCGUAGAUAUCGAAAGGAACACCUGCGGCGAAGGCGGGUUGCUGGGCUGACACUGACGCUGAGGCGCGAAAGCCAGGGGAGCGAACGGG